AUCCAUCUGACGAGUCCCAAAUAGAACGAAACACUUAUUCUGGAU
rnacentral:hammerhead_ribozyme from 1 species